UACCUGGAGGACUAGUGGGAAGGCCUCAGCGCUCUCACUGCUGUGGCACGGGUUCGAUUCCCGGCCAGGGAC